rnacentral:rRNA from 1 species
GAUGAACGCUGGCGGCGUGCCUAAUACAUGCAAGUCGAGCGAACAGACGAGGAGCUUGCUCCUCUGACGUUAGCGGCGGACGGGUGAGUAACACGUGGAUAACCUACCUAUAAGACUGGGAUAACUUCGGGAAACCGGAGCUAAUACCGGAUAAUAUAUUGAACCGCAUGGUUCAAUAGUGAAAGACGGUUUUGCUGUCACUUAUAGAUGGAUCCGCGCCGCAUUAGCUAGUUGGUAAGGUAACGGCUUACCAAGGCGACGAUGCGUAGCCGACCUGAGAGGGGGGUCGGCCACACUGGAACUGAGACACGGUCCAGACUCCUACGGGAGGCAGCAGUAGGGAAUCUUCCGCAAUGGGCGAAAGCCUGACGGAGCAACGCCGCGUGAGUGAUGAAGGUCUUCGGAUCGUAAAACUCUGUUAUUAGGGAAGAACAAAUGUGUAAGGAACUAUGCACGUCUUGACGGUACCUAAUCAGAAAGCCAUGGCUAACUACGUG